UACGUAGGGGCCUAGCGUUGUCCGGAAUUAUUGGGCGUAAAGAGCUCGUAGGCGGUUUGUCGCGUCUGCUGUGAAAACUGGAGGCUCAACCUCCAGCCUGCAGUGGGUACGGGCAGACUAGAGUGCGGUAGGGGAGAUUGGAAUUCCUGGUGUAGCGGUGGAAUGCGCAGAUAUCAGGAGGAACACCGAUGGCGAAGGCAGAUCUCUGGGCCGUAACUGACGCUGAGGAGCGAAAGCAUGGGGAGCGAACAGG
rnacentral:rRNA from 1 species